GCCCAGAUAGCUCAGUUGGUAGAGCAAAGGACUGAAAAUCCUUGUGUCCCUGGUUCGAUUCCAGGUCUGGGCACCA
rnacentral:tRNA from 1 species